AAUCUCUAGAGAUCCAUGUUUUGGGGGAAAGGUAACAACUUCACAGUUUGAUGAUAUUGGAGGUUUCAAUAAUAAUCAACACAGGGCCCCAACUUCCUAUUUUCAUAAAAAUGAUCAGGUAGUGUCCCCUUGCAUAAGAAAGACAGAAAGGCUAACAAACAUACAAAUAAAUUUUAAGGUAAAGUCUUGGCCUCGAAUUUACAAAUUUCAUGGAAUUCGGCUUUGAAGUCUAGCAGAGGGGAAGACUCAACACAUAACAGUAACAAACUAUGUAACACUUAGAGAGCACUUACUAAAAUGGUCAGUCUUUCAACUAAGUGCUUUAGACAUACAACUAACUUAAUUCUCAUCCUAUCAGGUAGGUGCUAUUAUUUAUUUCUAUUUAACAGACGGAAAGUUAUUUACCCAAGGUCACACAGCUAGAAAGCGACCAACUUGAACCCAGGAGGUCUCCAGGGUCCAUACUCUUGACCCUAUAUUUCAAAAUCUUAACACAGAACUAGAGAACUUCUAGCUUCAAGGGCUGUGUAGCUUCCUUCUCAGCAGCUGCAUGAAUGGUGGAGUGGAAAAAGCACAGGCUUGGAGACAGAGUUUAGACUGGAACCUUUGUUUGUCCACUCUCCGCCCUUAAGCAAAUCAAUUACCUUCUCUCAGUCUCAUUUUUCCCAAAUGUAAGGAAAUUACAUUUCUCACUUUCCUCAAAUGUAAGGGAUUAUAAUAAACGCUUCAAAGAACU
ensembl:lncRNA novel transcript, antisense to CCDC93